GCCAGACUGUCGCUGUGACCGGGUUCAAGUAAUCCAGGAUAGGCUUUCUGCGUCUGUGUUGGCCUGUGCUUGAUUACUUGCACUCGGGGUCAGCAACUAACC
rnacentral:miRNA from 1 species